rnacentral:misc_RNA from 1 species
GUUCAAGCUAAUAGAUGUUAAGGAUGCACAUGCUCAAUUUCCUAAAACAAAGAUAAAGAUUGUUUAAAUAAAGGCACACAACAUAAAUGAAGAAAUCAGUGUAUCUUAUGAUGAAAGCAAGAAACCAAAAUUGCUGUAAGUGGAACGAUUAGUCUCAAGACAGUUACCAAAAAUCAAAACAAGGUUCUAGGGAAGCCUCAUCACAAUGUUGUGAAAAACUUUUAUGAUAAUCCAGUUGAAGAAGUAAAGUUUUUGGUAAUAAAUUCAAGAAUUAUUGCAAAGAAAAAAAAAUAAAGAAUAAACGACUUGCAUUUCAGAAAGGAAUACAUAAUUUCAGAAUUACUAUCUAGAUGCAUUCUUUUUUCCUCCUAUCACUUUAGAAGGAAUGCACAAAACUGUUGUAAUGUGUCCCAAUUGCCUCUUAACACAAAAUGAACAAUCUACACUACACAUCAAUUGAAACUAUAGAAAUCUCUUUUAACAAGUAAAACUUUCCAAAGAUGCCUUAUAGUUCAUGGAAUCCUCAGCCACAUUCAAGCUUUUACAGGAUUACAUUAUGGAGGCUCCAAUAAAAUCUAAGAUAACGUCAGUUAAGAAUGGCUUUGAUUUGAUCAAUAAAUAUUAUUAGUCUCCAAUUAGUUGCAACGUAAUAUUUAGUCAACCGCAAAAGAUUGAAAGAAUAUUUGAUUUCCAAUUGUGAUAAAUAUUCUCCUACCGCCAAUACUCUUAGCAGCAUCCU